GACGAACGCUGGCGGCGUGCUUAACACAUGCAAGUCGAACGGAAAGGCCCUGCUUUUGUGGGGUGCUCGAGUGGCGAACGGGUGAGUAACACGUGAGUAACCUGCCCUUGACUUUGGGAUAACUUCAGGAAACUGGGGCUAAUACCGGAUAGGAGCUCCUGCUGCAUGGUGGGGGUUGGAAAGUUUCGGCGGUUGGGGAUGGACUCGCGGCUUAUCAGCUUGUUGGUGGGGUAGUGGCUUACCAAGGCUUUGACGGGUAGCCGGCCUGAGAGGGUGACCGGCCACCUUGGGACUGAGAUACGGCCCAGACUCCUACGGGAGGCAGCAGUGGAGAAUAUUGCACAAUGGGCGGAAGCCUGAUGCAGCAACGCCGCGUGCGGGAUAACGGCCUUCGGGUUGUAAACCGCUUUCGCCUGUGACGAAGCGUGAGUGACGGUAAUGGGUAAAGAAGCACCGGCUAACUACGUG
rnacentral:rRNA from 1 species